GAUAAACGCUGAAGGCAUCUAAGCGUGAAGCCCCCCUCAAGAUGAGAUAUCCCAUAACGUAAGUUAGUAAGACCCCUUGAAGACGACGAGGUAGAUAGGUGAAAGGUGGAAGCACGGUGACGUGUGGAGCUGAUUCAUACUAAUAGGUCGAGGGCUUAACCGA
rnacentral:rRNA from 1 species